rnacentral:pre_miRNA from 1 species
UGGCGGUUUGCAUUCACUUACAUUUAUAAGACAAAAAUGCAAGUGAUACCAGACCGCUAGU